GGCUCGGUAGCUUAGUUGGUAAUGCACUCGUGUAGCAUACGAGAGUCCUGGGUUCAAAUCCCAGCAGAUCA
rnacentral:tRNA from 1 species